GGACUGAGACACGGCCCAGACUCCUACGGGAGGCAGCAGUGGGGAAUUUUGGACAAUGGGCGCAAGCCUGAUCCAGCAAUGCCGCGUGUGUGAAGAAGGCCUUCGGGUUGUAAAGCACUUUUGUCCGGAAAGAAAACCUNNGCCCUAAUACGGUGGGGGGAUGACGGUACCGGANGAAUAAGCACCGGCUAACUACGUGCCAGCAGCCGCGGUAAUACGUAGGGUGCAAGCGUUAAUCGGAAUUACUGGGCGUAAAGCGUGCGCAGGCGGUCCGCUAAGACAGAUGUGAAAUCCCCGGGCUUAACCUGGGAACUGCAUUUGUGACUGGCGGGCUAGAGUAUGGCAGAGGGGGGUAGAAUUCCACGUGUAGCAGUGAAAUGCGUAGAGAUGUGGAGGAAUACCGAUGGCGAAGGCAGCCCCCUGGGCCAAUACUGACGCUCAUGCACGAAAGCGUGGGGAGCAAACAGGAUUAGAUACCCUGGUAGUCCACGCCCUAAACGAUGUCAACUAGUUGUCGGGUCUUCAUUGACUUGGUAACGUAGCUAACGCGUGAAGUUGACCGCCUGGGGAGUACGGUCGCAAGAUUAAAACUCAAAGGAAUUGACGGGGACCCGCACAAGCGGUGGAUGAUGUGAUUAAUUCGAUGCAACGCGAAAAACCUUACCUACCCUUGACAUGUAUGGAAUCCUGCUGAGAGGUGGGAGUGCCCGAAAGGGAGCCAUAACACAGGUGCUGCANGGCUGUCGUCAGCUCGUGUCGUGAGAUGUUGGGUUAAGUCCCGCAACGAGCGCAACCCUUGUCCCUAGUUGCUACGCAAGAGCACUCUAGGGAGACUGCCGGUGACAAACCGGAGGAAGGUGGGGANGACGUCAAGUCCUCAUGGCCCUUAUGGGUAGGGCUUCACACGUCAUACAAUGGUCGGAACAGAGGGUCGCCAACCCG
rnacentral:rRNA from 2 species